rnacentral:rRNA from 1 species
GGGCCCGCACAAGCGGUGGAGCAUGUGGUUUAAUUCGAUGAUACGCGAGGAACCUUACCAGGGCUUAAAUGUAGUGGGACAGGUCUAGAGAUAGACCCUUCUUCGGACUCAUUACAAGGUGCUGCAUGGUUGUCGUCAGCUCGUGCCGUGAGGUGUCAGGUUAAGUCCUAUAACGAGCGCAACCCCUGUUGUUAGUUGCCAUCGAGUCAUGUCGGGAACUCUAGCGAAACUGCCGGUGCAAACCGAGAGGAAGGUGGGGAUGACGUCAAAUCAUCACGGCCCUUACGUUCUGGCUACACACGUGCUACAAUGGUCGGUACAGAAAGCAGCCACUAUGCGAAUAGGAGCU